AACAAACGCUGGCGGCGUGCCUAACACAUGCAAGUCGUACGAGAAAGUCGGCUUCGGCCGAUGAGUACAGUGGCGCACGGGUGAGUAGCGCGUGGGUAAUCUGCCCCCCGGUCAGGAAUAACCCGCCGAAAGGCGGGCUAAUACCCGAUAACACUGACGCUCCGCGGAGCGUCUUUCAAAGAAGGCCUCUGUUUACAAGCUUUCGCCGGAGGAUGAGCCCGCGUACCAUUAGCUAGUUGGCAGGGUAAUGGCCUACCAAGGCUACGAUGGUUAGCUGGUCUGAGAGGAUGGCCAGCCACACUGGAACUGAGACACGGUCCAGACUCCUACGGGAGGCAGCAGUGAGGAAUCUUGCGCAAUGGGGGAAACCCUGACGCAGCAACGCCGCGUGAGUGAGGAAGGCCUUCGGGUCGUAAGCUCUGUCAGAUGGGAAGAAAUGGAUGGGGGCUAAUAUCGCCCAUCCUUGACGGUACCAUCAGAGGAAGCACCGGCUAACUCCG
rnacentral:rRNA from 1 species